UGAGGAAUAUUGGUCAAUGGGCGAGAGCCUGAACCAGCCAAGUAGCGUGCAGGAUGACGGCCCUAUGGGUUGUAAACUGCUUUUAUGUGGGGAUAAAGUGCGUGACGUGUCAUGCAUUGCAGGUACCACAUGAAUAAGGACCGGCUAAUUCCGUGCCAGCAGCCGCGGUAAUACGGAAGGUCCGGGCGUUAUCCGGAUUUAUUGGGUUUAAAGGGAGCGUAGGCUGUCUAUUAAGCGUGUUGUGAAAUUUACCGGCUCAACCGGUGGCUUGCAGCGCGAACUGGUCGACUUGAGUAUGCAGGAAGUAGGCGGAAUUCAUGGUGUAGCGGUGAAAUGCUUAGAUAUCAUGACGAACUCCGAUUGCGCAGGCAGCUUACUGUAGCAUAACUAACGCUAAUGCUCGAAAGUGCGGGUAUCAAACAGG
rnacentral:rRNA from 1 species